rnacentral:rRNA from 1 species
AGAGUUUGAUCAUGGCUCAGACUGAACGCUGGCGGAAUGCUUUACACAUGCAAGUCGAACGGCAGCACGGGGCAACCUGGUGGCGAGUGGCGAACGGGUGAGUAAUACAUCGGAACGUGCCCAAUCGUGGGGAUAACGUAGCGAAAGUUACGCUAAUACCGCAUACGAUCUACGGAUGAAAGCGGGGGAUCGCAAGACCUCGCGCGAGUGGAGCGGCCGAUGUCAGAUUAGGUAGUUGGUGGGGUAAAGGCUCACCAAGCCAACGAUCUGUAGCUGGUCUGAGAGGACGACCAGCCACACUGGAACUGAGACACGGUCCAGACUCCUACGGGAGGCAGCAGUGGGGAAUUUUGGACAAUGGGCGCAAGCCUGAUCCAGCCAUUCCGCGUGCAGGAUGAAGGCCUUCGGGUUGUAAACUGCUUUUGUACGGAACGAAACGGCGAGCUCUAAUACAGUUUGCUAAUGACGGUACCGUAAGAAUAAGCACCGGCUAACUACGUG